CAGUAGCCGCGGGAAUACAGAGGGUGCGAGCGUUAAUCGGAUUUACUGGGCGUAAAGCGUGCGUAGGCGGCUUUUUAAGUCGGAUGUGAAAUCCCUGAGCUUAACUUAGGAAUUGCAUUCGAUACUGGGAAGCUAGAGUAUGGGAGAGGAUGGUAGAAUUCCAGGUGUAGCGGUGAAAUGCGUAGAGAUCUGGAGGAAUACCGAUGGCGAAGGCAGCCAUCUGGCCUAAUACUGACGCUGAGGUACGAAAGCAUGGGGAGCAAACAGGAUUAGAUACCCGUGUAGUCCCUGUCUCUUAUAC
rnacentral:rRNA from 1 species